rnacentral:rRNA from 1 species
UACGGAGGGUGCAAGCGUUAUCCGGAUUUACUGGGUUUAAAGGGUGCGCAGGCGGAUAUGUAAGUCAGUGGUGAAAUCUUUGGGCUUAACCCGAAAAUUGCCGUUGAUACUAUAUAUCUUGAAUGCUGUGGAGGUAAGCAGAAUAUGUCAUGUAGCGGUGAAAUGCUUAGAGAUGACAUAGAAUACCUAUUGCGAAGGCAGCUUACUACGCAGAUAUUGACGCUCAUGCACGAAAGCGUGGGGAUCAAACAGG